AAGCAACGCGAAGAACUUACCAGGCUUGACAUCCCGAUGCUAUUUCUAGAGAUAGAAAGUUACUUCGGUACAUCGGUGACAGGUGGUGCAUGGUUGUCGUCAGCUCGUGUCGUGAGAUGUUGGGUUAAGUCCCGCAACGAGCGCAACCCCUAUUGUUAGUUGCCAUCAUUCAGUUGGGCACUCUAGCGAGACUGCCGGUAAUAAACCGGAGGAAGGUGGGAUGACGUCAAAUCAUCAUGCCCCUUAUGACCUGGGCUGCACACGUGCUACAAUGGUUGGUACAACGAGUUGCGAGUCGGUGACGGCGAGCUAAUCUCUUAAAGCCAAUCUCAGUUCGGAUUGUAGGCUGCAACUCGCCUACAUGAAGUCGGAAUCGCUAGUAAUCGCGGAUCAGCACGCCGCGGUGAAUACGUUCCCGGGCCUU
rnacentral:rRNA from 1 species